UACGGAGGGUGCAAGCGUUAUCCGGAUUCAUUGGGCGUAAAGGGUGCGUAGGCGGCGCGGUAAGUCGGGUGUGAAAUCUUGGAGCUUAACUCCGAAACUGCAUUCGAUACUGCCGUGCUUGAGGACUGGAGAGGAGACUGGAAUUUACGGUGUAGCGGUGAAAUGCGUAGAUAUCGUAAGGAAGACCAGUGGCGAAGGCGGGUCUCUGGACAGUUCCUGACGCUGAGGCACGAAGGCCAGGGGAGCAAACGGG
rnacentral:rRNA from 1 species